GCGAGAGUGGCGGAAUGGCAGACGCACUGGACUCAAAAUCCAGCGACCGCAAGGUCAUGAGAGUUCAAGUCUCUCCUCUCGCA
rnacentral:tRNA from 2 species